rnacentral:rRNA from 1 species
GAUGAACGCUGGCGGCGUGCCUAAUACAUGCAAGUCGAGCGAACAGACGAGGAGCUUGCUCCUCUGACGUUAGCGGCGGACGGGUGAGUAACACGUGGAUAACCUACCUAUAAGACUGGGAUAACUUCGGGAAACCGGAGCUAAUACCGGAUAAUAUAUUGAACCGCAUGGUUCAAUAGUGAAAGACGGUUUUGCUGUCACUUAUAGAUGGAUCCGCGCCGCAUUAGCUAGUUGGUAAGGUAACGGCUUACCAAGGCAACGAUGCGUAGCCGACCUGAGAGGGUGAUCGGCCACACUGGAACUGAGACACGGUCCAGACUCCUACGGGAGGCAGCAGUAGAGAAUCUUCCGCAAUGGGCGAAAGCCUGACGGAGCAACGCCGCGUGAGUGAUGAAGGUCUUCGGAUCGUAAAACUCUGUUAUUAGGGAAGAACAAAUGUGUAAGUAACUAUGCACGUCUUGACGGUACCUAAUCAGAAAGCCACGGCUAACUACG